rnacentral:rRNA from 1 species
CUUGGUUGAUCCUGCCAGUAGUCAUAUGCUUGUCUCGAAGAUUAAGCCAUGCAUGUGUAAGUAUGAACUAAUUCAGACUGUGAAAUUGUGAAUGGCUUAUUAAAUCAGUUAUAGUUUGUUUGAUGGUAUCUACUACUCGAAUAAUCAUAGUAAUUCUAGAGCUAAUACGUGUAACAAACCCCGACUUCUGGAAGGGAUGCAUUUAUUAGAUAAAAGGUUGACGUGGGCUAUGCCUGUUGCUUUGAUGAUUCAUGAUAACUCGACGGAUCGCACGACCUUUGUGCCAGUGACGCAUCAUUCAAAUUUCUACCCUAUCAACUUUCAAUGGUAGGAUAGUGGCCUACUAUGGUGGUGACGGGUGACGGAGAAUUAGGGUUUGAUUCCGGAGAGGUAGCCUGAGAAAUGGCUACCACAUCUAAGGAAGGCAGCAGGCGCGUAAAUUACCCAAUUUUGACACGGGGAGGUAGUGACAAUAAAUAACAAUACCAGGCUCCAUGAGUUUGGUAAUUGGAAUGAGUACAAUCUAAAUCCCUUAAUGAGGAUCCAUUGGAGGGUAAGUCUGGUGCCAGCAGCCGUGAUAAUUCCAGCUCCAAUAGCGUAUAUUUAAGUUGUUGCAGUUAAAAAGCUCGUAGUUGGAACUAGGGUUGGGUCUUUCGAUCUGCCUUACGGUGAGCAUCGGUCUACUCAUCCUUACUGUCGGUGAUACGCUCCUAGACUUAAUUGCUCGAGUCGUUCCUCUGGCGCUGUUACUUUGAAGAAAUUAGAGUGCUCAAAACAGGCCUAUGCUUGUAUACAUUAGCAUGGGAUAACAUCAUAGAUUUCGGUCCAAUUGUGUUGGCCUUUGGGAUUGGAGUAAUGAUUAACAGGGAUAGUCGGGGGCAUUCAUAUUUCAUAGUCAGAGGUGAAAUUUUUGGAUUUAUGAAAGACGAACAAUUACGAAAGCAUUUGCCAAGGAUGUUUUCAUUAAUCAAGAAUGAAAGUUAGGGGCUCGAAGAUGAUCAGAUACCGUCCUAGUCUCAACCAUAAAUGAUGCCGAUCAGGGAUCGGUGAAUGUUACUUUUAGGACUCCGUCGGUACCUUAUGAGAAAUCAAAGUCUUUGGGUUCUGUGGGGAGUAUGGUCACAAGGCUGAAACUUAAAGGAAUUGACGGAAGGGCACCACCAGGAGUAGAGCCUGUGGCUUAAUUUGACUCAACACGGGGAAAUUUACCAGGUCCAGACAUAGUAAGGAUUGACAGACUGAGAGCUCUUUCUUAAUUCUAUGGGUGGUGGUGCAUGGCCGUUCUUAGUUGGUAGAGCGAUUUGUUUGGUUAAUUUCAUUACCGAACGAGACCUUAACCUGCUAACUAGCUAUGCAAAGGUGAUCCUUCAUGGCUAGCUCCUUAGAGAGACUAUGGCCACUUAGGCCAAGGAAGUUUGAGGCAAUAACAGGUCCGUGAUGCUCUUAGAUGUUCUGGGCCGCACGUGCGCUACACUGAUGUAUUCAACAAGUCUAUAGCCUUGGUUGACAGGCCCGGGUAAUCUUUGAAAUUUUAUUGUGAUGGGGAUAGAUCAUUGCAAUUGUUGGUCUUCAACGAGGAAUUCCUAGCGAGCGCGAGUCAUCAGCUCGCAUUGACUACGUCCCUGCCCUUUAUACACAUCGCCCGUCGCUCCUACCGAUUGAAUGGUCCGAUGAAGUAUUCGGAUCGCAGCGACGUGGAUGGUCCACUGCCCAUGACGUCACGAAAAGCCCAUUGAACCUUAUCAUUUAAAGGAAGGAGAAGUCGUAACAAGGUCUCCAUAGGUGAACCUACAGAAG